GUUUUUUUUUUUAUCGGUAUCUGAUCGGUUGGGGUCCGACACCCCCUCCGAUCAACUGUUUGAGAGGGCAGCAGCGCUUGCACUAGUGCCGCAGCCUUCUCUCUGCUUACCAAGCAUAGCGAUGUACAUUGUAUUGGGGCUGUACUUGGUAUCACAACUCAGACCCGUUCACUUCAAUGGGGCUGAGCUGCACCUAGGCCAUGUGACUGAUGAACAUGUCGUCACUGGCCUAAGAAGAAGGUCUCAACACUACUGCAAGCGCCGCUGCCUUCUCAAAUAGCUGAUCGGCGGGGGUCUCGGAUGUCAGACCUUCACCAAUCAGACAAAGGAUAGGUCAUCAGUGAAAAAGAAAAUUAAUAAAUGAUGUACCCAUUUUUGGCCCGGGGAUCAGCCGUAAACUCCAGGGGAAGAUUGAUGUGGCUACUAAUUUUGUUCACAGCGGCUGCUUUGUCAAGGCGAUCCCAAGUGAGGAAACCAUCUUUGAUUCUCAUAUCGAGAGGGAGUAUGGACAGGAGAUGUUCAGUAGGGACAACCCACUUGAAUUACAGAAACAAAUUUUCCUUUCUAUAAAUGUGCCAAAUCCAUAUAAGAUUUGCAAAUCCACAGCUUGCGCUUAAAGGGGUUUUCAGUUUUUUUUUAAUACAAAUAGGCUGUAUUGAUGCACAGGCUUGUAUUCAUGACCAAUACAAAUAGGUCAUCGAUACAAACAGGCUGCACAGCCCCUUUAGGGUCCAUUCACACUUAACAGAAACGUGCCUAUUGUUGUCCUCAAUUGCGGCCAAGAAUAGUCAUAUUCU